AUCUCUGAACCACUGAAAAAAAAGAUCUGUUUUCAGGAUGCAGCAGCCUCCUAGAAAGGAGGAAAAGCCAUGUUGAAACUUCUGCUGGAGAAAUCUCUACAGAAAGCCAUCACCAUGGCUGAAUGUACCACUCUGGACUAUUCCUCUAUGGACUCAGAAGAUGUUAUGGAUCUCACCCAUUGAUAACACGGGGAAUUUUGCUUAAUUGGAGCCUAUGGAAGUUUGGAUCUUGGAUGCUAUAGACUUGGGCAGAUGCUCAUUCAGAUGAUGGUCUCAGAACUUUCUUCUGACCCUCAGACCUAUGCCAUGGUCAAAAGCACCUGAUGAAAAACCGCUGUUAAUGCUUUAAAGACGCUUCUAGAUUCCGUCUGUCUUCUUAGAUCUAAGACUGAUUGUUUCUCCAUCAAGCUUUCAAGGAUUUUGUUUG
rnacentral:lncRNA from 1 species